rnacentral:sRNA from 19 species
GCUAUUCACCAAACAGUGGACAGAGUUAGACAUCUAGUUCUCCUGCUGGACAGAUAGCCAGCUUAAGCAAAAGCUACGUUUUGAGGGUUAUGACACCUACGGGUGCUUUCCAGCUUGUAGCUCUGUC